UGACCGUAGGUUGCCAUGGGCACGCCUACCAACACGUUCACUUCUUGUGGGCUUCCCGCCAAUGGACAAUUGAGAUAUGCCUCCAUCUAUGCAUGCAAAAGUUGAUCCAACGCUCGGUCUCCGGGUGCUACGAAACGCCACUCGUCGAGACUCUUAAUUCAUCGGAUGCGACUCAAUGCGGCUUUCACAGCUCAGUGGCGUUACCGCUUGCGACAAGUUGUCUCUCCCAGAUGCCGUCACUGCGGAUCACGCUUACAGCGUCUCUAAAUCAGCUGGACUAUACUCUCUCACUCUGUCAAAAUUGCCUGGUGCGAAAGCGGCUACCCCCAGUUCGGAACGGCGCACACCUGACGGCUGGCAUGAAGGUGUGACGUCGUAUUACACACGAAAAUGGCGCUUCUUUUGAAACGGCGAAACCGAAACCGAACGGUUAGUCGCAAUUAAUUACCAGUGUACUGUAACAAACCCAACUACACAAAAAACAAUAGUAGCGGGCUAUGAGAUUUGAACUUACGCAAGCAUUAUACACCCAACAUUAGAAAAGUUUCGGCCUCUCUGUGCAGAACUCCUUUAAAAUAAAGAUGUUGUUGUUGUUGC